GGGAAGUACCAUAGCUCAGUGGUAGAGCAUCUUCUUUACAUGCAAGAGGUCCCAAGUUCAAUCCCUGGACCCUCCA